rnacentral:rRNA from 1 species
UACUCGAGUGGCGAACGGGUGAGUAACACGUUGGUGAUCUGCCCUGCACUUCGGGAUAAGCCUGGGAAACUGGGUCUAAUACCGGAUAGGAGCCAUUUUUAGUGUGAUGGUUGGAAAGUUUUUUCGGUGUAGGAUGAGCUCGCGGCCUAUCAGCUUGUUGGUGGGGUAAUGGCCUACCAAGGCGGCGACGGGUAGCCGGCCUGAGAGGGUGGACGGCCACAUUGGGACUGAGAUACGGCCCAG